rnacentral:rRNA from 1 species
GUGCUAAGGUAGCAUAAUCAUUUGCUAUUUAAUUGGUAGCUGGAAUGAAAGGUUAAACUAGCUUACUCAGUUUGUUGUGUUUUGUAAGAAAUUAAAGUCGAGGUAAGAAUUCUUUGAUCUGCUAGGGGACGAUAAGACCCUAGAAGCUUAACAAUAAGAGUAUUUAUUAGUUAUAAAAAUUAAUUUGUUUUACUGGGGCGGUAAAGGUAUAUAAACUAUUAGUGUAUUGAUAGAUCCUUAAAAUAAAGAUAAAACGGGAAAGUUACUCUAGGGGUAACAGUGCAAUAUUUUUGGAGAGAUCAUAUCGAUAAAAAUGUUUGCAACCUCGAUGUUGAAUUAAGAUGUCUACGUGAAGCAGCAGGUACGUGAGAGGGUUUGUUCAACCUUU